rnacentral:rRNA from 1 species
AGUCGAGCGGUAAGGCCCUUCGGGGUACACGAGCGGCGAACGGGUGAGUAACACGUGGGUGAUCUGCCUCGCACUCUGGGAUAAGCCUGGGAAACUGGGUCUAAUACCGGAUAUGACCUUACAUCGCAUGGUGUUUGGUGGAAAGAUUUAUCGGUGCGAGAUGGGCCCGCGGCCUAUCAGCUUGUUGGUGGGGUAAUGGCCUACCAAGGCGACGACGGGUAGCCGGCCUGAGAGGGCGACCGGCCACACUGGGACUGAGACACGGCCCAGACUCCUACGGGAGGCAGCAGUGGGGAAUAUUGCACAAUGGGCGAAAGCCUGAUGCAGCGACGCCGCGUGAGGGAUGACGGCCUUCGGGUUGUAAACCUCUUUCGACAGGGACGAAGCGCAAGUGACGGUACCUGUAGAAGAAGCACCGGCCAACUACGUGCCAGCAGCCGCGGUAAUACGUAGGGUGCGAGCGUUGUCCGGAAUUACUGGGCGUAAAGAGCUUGUAGGCGGCUUGUCGCGUCGAUCGUGAAAACUUGGGGCUCAACCCCAAGCUUGCGGUCGAUACGGGCAGGCUUGAGUACUUCAGGGGAGACUGGAAUUCCUGGUGUAGCGGUGAAAUGCGCAGAUAUCAGAGGAACACCGGUGGCGAACGCGGGUCUCUGGGAAGUAACUGACGCUGAGAAGCGAAAGCGUGGGUAGCGAACAGGAUUAGAUACCCUGGUAGUCCACGCCGUAACGGUGGGUACUAGGUGUGGGUUUCCUUCCACGGGAUCCGUGCCGUAGCUAAGCAUUAAGUACCCCGCCUGGGAGUACGGCCGCAAGGCUAAACUCAAAGGAAGUGACUGGGGCCCGCACAAGCGGCAGGAGCAUGUGAUCAUUCGAUGCAACGCGAAGACCUUAACUGGGUUU